CUGCAGCAAGGAUCUUCGCAAUGGGGGCAACCCUGACGGAGCAACGCCGCGUGGGGGAUGACGCCCUUCGGGGUGUAAACCCCUUUUUCUGCGGGAAGAAGGCGCUCACGCGCUUGACGGUACCGGAGGAAGAAGGACCGGCUAACUACGUGCCAGCAGCCGCGGUAAUACGUAGGGUCCGAGCGUUGUCCGGAGUUACUGGGCGUAAAGCGCGCGCAGGCGGCGGUGCUGGCCCGGCGUGAAAGCCCCCGGCUCAACCGGGGAGGGUCGUCGGGGACCGCACCGCUUGAGGGCGGUAGGGGCUGGUGGAAUGCCUGGUGUAGUGGUGAAAUGCGUAGAGAUCAGGCGGAACACCCGUGGCGAAGGCGGCCAGCUGGGCCGUCCCUGACGCUGAGGCGCGAAGGCGUGGGGAGCGAACGGGAUUAGAUACCCCGGUAGUCCACGCAGUAAACGAUGCCGACUAGGCGUGGGGGGAGUUGACCCCCUCCGUGCCGGAGCCAACGCGGGAAGUCGGCCGCCUGGGGAGUACGGCCGCAAGGCUA
rnacentral:rRNA from 1 species